CAAAGGAACAGGAACAGAGAAAGUCAGCAAUGGAAUUGAUCUCAUGUGGGGGAUCAUGGAGUGGAUACAGGAACUGAAAUUCCAGAGAGCAUAGGAAUAGAGGGUGCUGGUGACAGAAGUUCAGGAAUCAGCACCUCCUAAACUUGAAUGCCUAUGUCUAAAAGAACAAGAUGGUCAAGGUUGAGGUUCCCAGGCAUACAAUUGUCCCAACCAAGAGGCAUAUCUCUCAGGAUUUGUCAGCUCACCAAAGAAGUAAAAACCUGGAGGAAAGGAUUCACCUUUCAAGCCUCAAAUCAUGUUCACUGCAAAUGUCCGAAGAAUUGAGGCAGACACCUGAAUGGGGAGGUCAGUUUUCAGCUUCAUCCCCUGUGAAGUGACACAGACUUGUUCCUGCUGGUCUAUUUCAACAUAAAUGAUAAGCAGACAAACAAGCAAGUGCCACCACCUGGCAUUUGACAGCGCGAGGAUGAAGUUUUCACACACCUGCUCAGAUGUUCUACAGUGAGACAGCUGCCUGCACCACUUCCUAACUAAAUCUGGAGGAAUAAAAGUGCACUGUCAGCAUUCCUCACUCCCACAUUUCCCCCAGACUGUGAAGCACCAUACGGCAAGUGUCAAGCUCAGCUCCGCACUGCUUGCGGUAACCAAGGAACAAUGCAUGGGUCCCGCGUGCCAGGGGGAGACGGUGAUUAAAG
rnacentral:lncRNA from 1 species